AUUUUUCCUGUGCAAUUCUCUUAGCCCAUAGAGCUCACUGCUCAUAGGUAAAUUGGAGACUUCACUGGAAGGCUCUGAUUGAGGAAAUAAAAGUGAAUAUUGGAUUGAAUAGAAUAGCCACAGUCUCUGAACUGUUGUCCAUAACCCAAAUAUCUCUCUGUGAGAGAAUGUUGGUCUUCUCAAGAGUUACAUUCAUCAUCUUGUCAUUUCUUCUUUUUUCUGAAAGUUCCUUUAUAAUUCCAGCAUUUUAUAAGAGACC